rnacentral:rRNA from 1 species
UACGAAGGGGGCUAGCGUUGCUCGGAAUCACUGGGCGUAAAGCGCACGUAGGCGGGUCGUUAAGUCGGGGGUGAAAUCCUGGAGCUCAACUCCAGAACUGCCUUCGAUACUGGCGAUCUUGAGUCUGGGAGAGGUGAGUGGAACUCCGAGUGUAGAGGUGAAAUUCGUAGAUAUUCGGAAGAACACCAGUGGCGAAGGCGGCUCACUGGCCCGAAACUGACGCUGAGGCACGAAAGCGUGGGGAGCAAACAGG